GCCAGAGCCAUAUCUCCUUGCAGUUCUUGCCUGGUGUCCCAUUUAAGUUAAGCAGCGUUGAGCCUGGACAGUACCUGUAUGGGAGACCUCCUGGGGAAAACUAAGGUUUCUGCUGGAA
rnacentral:rRNA from 1 species